AUUGAACGCUGGCGGCAGGCCUAACACAUGCAAGUCGAGCGGAGCGUCGGACGGGUGAGUACUGCCUAGGAAUCUGCCUGGUAGUGGGCGAUCCAGUCCGGAGAGGGGACCUAUUGCCACAGACUUUAAGAUGAGCCUAGGUCGGAUUAGCUAGUUGGUGGGGCAGAGGCUUACCAAGGUGACGAUCCUUAACUGGUCUGAGAGGAUGAUCGGUCACACUGGAACUGAGACACGGUCCAGACUCCUACGGGAGGCAGCAGUGGGGAAUAUUGGACAAUGGGCGAAAGCCUGAUCCAGCCAUGCCGCGUGUGUGAAGAAGGUUUUCGGAUCGUAAAGCUCUGUUAUUUGGGAAGCGGUACCAACAGAAUAAGCACCGGCUAACUUCGUGCCAGCAGCCGCGGUAAUAC
rnacentral:rRNA from 1 species